GCCUGGAUGGCUCAGUUGGUUGAGCAUGAGACUUCUGCUCAGGUUAUGAUCUCACAGCUCGUGAGUUCGAGCCCUGCAUCAGGCU
rnacentral:tRNA from 1 species